CUCAUGAUGCCACAGUUGGUAGCGCGUUGGGCUGUAAUUGAAAUUUCAUUAUAUAUCCACAGGUCGGAUGUUUCGAGUCACCCUCAGGAGA